AACGAACGCUGGCGGCAUGCCUAACACAUGCAAGUCGAACGAGACCUUCGGGUUUAGUGGCGCACGGGUGCGUAACGCGUGGGAAUCUGCCCUGGGGUUCGGAAUAACAGUUGGAAACGACUGCUAAUACCGGAGGUUGUCGUAAGUCCAAAGAUUUAUCGCCCAAGGAUGAGCCCGCGUAGGCUUAGCUAGUUAGUAUGGUAAAUGCGCAUCAAGGCGAGGAUCCUUAGCUGGUUUGAGAGGAUGAUCAGCCACACUGGGACUGAGACACGGCCCGGACUAUUGCGGGAGGCAGCAGUGGGGAAUAUUGGAAAGUGGGCGAAGGCAUGAUCCAGCAAUGACGCGUGAGUGAUGAAGGCCUUAGGGUUGUAAAGCUCUUUUACCCGGGAUGAUAAUGACAGUACCGGGAGAAUAAGCACCGGCUAACUCCGUG
rnacentral:rRNA from 1 species